UACGGAGGGUGCAAGCGUUAUCCGGAUUCACUGGGUUUAAAGGGUGCGUAGGUGGACAGGUAAGUCCGUGGUGAAAUCUCUGAGCUUAACUCAGAAACUGCCGUGGAUACUAUUUGUCUUGAAUGUUGUGGAGGUGAGCGGAAUAUGUCAUGUAGCGGUGAAAUGCUUAGAUAUGACAUAGAACACCAAUUGCGAAGGCAGCUCACUACACAAUUAUUGACGCUGAGGCACGAAAGCGUGGGGAUCAAACAGG
rnacentral:rRNA from 1 species